rfam:Selaginella moellendorffii unplaced genomic scaffold SELMOscaffold_11, whole genome shotgun sequence.
GGGUCUUGGGAUAUUUGGGGUUAAGCGUCCUUGGGUUUGAAUAGUACUGGGAUGGGUGACCUCUCGGGAAGUCCAAACUCAGGAGCUU